rnacentral:rRNA from 1 species
GUGAGGAAUAUUGGUCAAUGGGCGCAAGCCUGAACCAGCCAUGCCGCGUGCAGGAAGACGGUCCUAUGGAUUGUAAACUGCUUUUAUUUGGGAAUAAACUCCGGUACGUGUACCGGCCUGAAGGUACCAAAUGAAUAAGCACCGGCUAACUCCGUGCCAGCAGCCGCGGUAAUACGGAGGGUGCAAGCGUUAUCCGGAAUCAUUGGGUUUAAAGGGUCCGCAGGCGGUCUUAUAAGUCAGUGGUGAAAGCCUACAGCUCAACUGUAGAACUGCCAUUGAUACUGUAGGACUUGAAUUCGAUCGAAGUGGGCGGAAUGUGACAUGUAGCGGUGAAAUGCUUAGAUAUGUCACAGAACAUCGAUAGCGAAGGCAGCUCACUAGGUCUGGAUUGACGCUCAGGGACGAAAGCGUGGGGAGCAAACAGGAUUAGAAACCCUUGUAGUCC